rnacentral:lncRNA from 1 species
UCUGAUCCUUUGCCUUCUUGGUUCUGGAACAUUCUGUACCUGAAAUAAAGUAGAUAAUCUGAACUUAUAUGUAGUUGAUUAGGAGAUUUAUGGCUGUCACGAUGCCCUGCUGGACACCACAGGAGUCAAGGCUUAUAAGUGGAAGGAACUUAUCUACAGAUGAGAAUUUGGACGUGGGUCUUGAAAUCUGGGACUUCUGAGUUAAUUCUGGAACCAGUCAAGACCUUUGGGAACUAUUGCAAAGGCAUCAUUGUAUAUCGAAAUGUGAGAAAGCUUUCUGAGGACCUCAACAGAAACAGAUGUUGAAGCCAUGCUGUUACAGCCGGCAGCACCUUACAGGUCUGGACAUUUGCUAUACAGAAAUUCUGAUUCUGCCAUAGAAUGAAACUGAAAAGAGUUUGGGGUAAAAUUAGCAUGUUUAGG